rnacentral:sRNA from 1 species
CCCGACGUUUCACGUCGGGCUGAAAUCCGGCGUCCUUGCAGGACU